UUUCGAGCUCACACAUUCAGUUUAGGCUUGGCUCUCGGAGGGGAAGCACGCGCUCUCGGUCUCGUCUCUCCCAUACACGGCGUGUCGACGGAUUUCACGAAUUUGUCCAAGUGGCUUCAAUCAACACAAACUUCAGAAAAAUAAAACAGAAGGAAUCCUGAAUGAAACAGAAGAAUUAAAAAGAAGAGAGAGGAAAAUUGCUGUGACAAAUUUACGCAUUCAUUUAGUUUUCUAUUCGGAGAAAACGAACCCCGCCCUAAUAAUUUACAAAAAUCAUAAUAGUUUUCUAAAUCCCAUGGUCAACAGCCUUGCAAAAAUAUAGCAAUAAUAGAUCGCAGAAAGCGAGCAGAUUUGCGCUAUCAUCAUCGUCAUCAAGCGCCAUUUUGACAGAGAAAGUGCGCUUCUCGAAUCUACUUUGUUUCCUUGUUACGCCGAUUUUUUAUAUUAUUAUUAUUUUUUUAACAUUUAUUUUAAAUAUCUCCUUUUCAAUAAGUGAGUGUUUUUUGUUGUGUUUUUUUUUUCAGUCGAAGAAUGUAACGCUAUCAGUCGUAGUUCUCGAAAACAUAAGAUAUAGUUAGAUAAAGAAGAGUUGUAUACAGACAAAAAAAUAGACAACUGAUACAAAAAAACAACAUUAAAUGAAAGAUAAUAAAACAUUUCCAAAGUCAUAACAUUAGAAAAGGUAAAAAAAAAAAAAAAAAAAAAAAAAAAAACAAGAUAAAACAAAAUCAACAAGAUUUAUACAAACGACACCACGCCUCUUUCCUUUUUCGCUUCGAUCACUUUUCGUCCGUUCGUUUCCCCCUGCCUCGGAGCCCGCCAGCAGCAUGAGCAGGUGGCUAACGACGACCAUGUUCUUCCUGCUGCCUCUCCUGCUGCUGCUGACGAGGACAGCGCCCUCAGAAGCUACCUGCGGCUCGUGUAAUGAACGGCUGAAAGUGUCCAUCAUAUGCUGUCUGUUCGAAGGGAGAUGCUGCGUUUUAGGACCCGUCGCGAUCGGCAAACGUGACGUCACAUCGGCGUUGCAGCGACGUCCAUGGAGCGAUGACGUCGACAGUGACAUCAGUAACAAAAUCGUUCAUCCGCAUGCCCGUCCGCGUUGACCUGACUUGCCGUGACCUUUCUUUUCCUUGAAUUUGUUGAGGGGGUUAUGAUUUUUCUAUGCGGGGUGUGAUUUUUAUGCCUUUUAUAUACUUUUGUAUUUGUUGACUUAAGCUCUCUCUCUUUUUUUUUUUUUUUUUUUUUUUUUUUUUUUUUUUUUUUUUUUUUUUUUUUUUUUACUUGAUCAUUAAAAUAUAAAAUGAAGUGCAGUGUAAUUGCAUAUUCACGCUCACAAAUGAUCAAAAAUUAUGAUGAAAACAUUAUCUUUGUUAUCACUCGCACGGGUUAUGAUUCAUAUGUUAUGAGAAAUAUGUAUCUUAUUUUAAACUAUUUUUUAAUGAUCACGAAGAUUUUCUCACAUGUGUUACCCAGUCUUUACUGGAGAUUACUUAUAACAGUCAGUGUUGUUAUUAAUUAUCAAUUAUGUAUACUUCUCACUUCCAGACAUUAUAUACUUAACACAUUCCACCACGAAUCUCCUCCCCAUAUUCAUUUCCUGGACACUCCAGUGUGUGUGUGUGUGUGUGUGUGUGUAUUAUAAUUACAAACGUACAUAAAUAU